UCUCCAUGGCAAUUGCUAUUCGCUGCAGCGGAGCAUCGUCGGAUCUUUACCACAGAUGAUCUCUUUGAAACAAUCGUCCUGCUAGCAAUUGUUUUCCUUCAGUUUUAUACUAAUAUUUUGUUUUGUUUUGCACAGUUACUUUGCUGAAUACUUGCCAGUGCGUGAAUAGGAAACAAAGACACGGAAUGGAUCAGUACAGUAUUCUGGGAAGGAUUGGGGAAGGAGCUCACGGGAUUGUUUUCAAAGCCAAACACAUCGAGACAGGAGAGACGGUGGCUUUGAAAAAAGUUGCUCUGCGAAGACUUGAAGAUGGUAUUCCGAACCAGGCCCUACGAGAAAUCAAAGCCCUGCAAGAGAUUGAGGACAACCAAUAUGUGGUGAAGCUGAAGGAUGUCUUCCCUCACGGCACAGGCUUUGUGCUGGUGUUUGAGUACAUGUUGUCAGAUCUGUCAGAAGUCAUUCGGAAUUCCCAGCGUCCUCUCACCGCAUCCCAGGUCAAAGGUUACAUGAUGAUGCUGCUGAAAGGAGUGGCUUUCUGCCACGAGAACUCCAUCAUGCACCGGGAUCUAAAGCCUGCAAACCUUCUAAUCAGCUCGACGGGUCACCUGAAGAUCGCUGACUUCGGUCUGGCCAGGCUCUUUUCCAAUGAAGGAGAUCGUCUGUACAGUCACCAGGUGGCCACCAGAUGGUACAGAUCACCCGAACUUUUGUAUGGUGCCCGGAAAUAUGAUGAAGGAGUUGAUCUCUGGGCAGUGGGCUGCAUUUUUGGGGAGCUGUUGAAUAACUCUCCGCUUUUCCCUGGAGAGAAUGACAUUGAGCAGUUGUGCUGUGUUUUACGAGUGCUGGGAACUCCCAACCAGAAAGUUUGGCCAGAAAUAACAGAACUACCAGACUACAAUAAAAUCACGUUUAAAGAAAACCCCCCCAUUCCUUUGGAGGAGAUCGUGCCUGACACGUCACCACAAGCUGUGGACCUGCUGAAGAAGUUCCUCGUCUAUCCAUCCAAACAGAGGAUCAGUGCUAGACAGGCUUUGCUCCAUCCGUAUUUCUUCACGGACCCUCUCCCGGCUCAUCACUCAGAGCUGCCCAUCCCUCAGCAUGGAGGAAAGCACUCCAGACAGCGCAUGCAACCUCCUUAUGAAUUCACAGUGGAUCAACCUUUACACGAGAGCUUGGUGGACCCCAGUCUGAUCCAGAGACAUGCGCAGAGUUUUUUGUGACAGCGUGAAAGUCAAUGGGGUCCAAAGUUGUUUGUAUCCCAACGUUCUUCGAAAUGUCUUCUUUUGUGCUCCACAAAAGAAAGUCGUACAGGUUUGGAAUGACAUGAGGUGCAGACUGAUGUGGCAUAUUUCCAGACUUUUUUUGUGCAUUUGCACUUACGAGACACCCCAUUUGCUGAAGCUGACCUGUCUGUGGCUCCGCCCACUGUCCCCACAUGUCUAACCUCAAUCACUCAGAGCACAGAAGUCUUCACACAUAAAGUUCUGAGCCAUCAGCGGUGCUCAUCUUCGUCACAGACACCUGUCCUGAAGACUGAACAGAUAAGCUCAGGAGUUCCUGACAGACAUGGAGACCUCCGCUGAACAGGCUCGCUGGGUUUCCUCCUCCAUGGUAUCAUCAGAGGUGAUGCCCA